rnacentral:rRNA from 1 species
CCUACGGGUGGCUGCAGUGAGGAAUUUUGCGCAAUGGGGGAAACCCUGACGCAGCAAUGCCGCGUGAGUGACGAAGGCCUUCGGGUUGUAAAGCUCUUUUAGUUGGGAAGAAAAAAACGACGGUACCAACAGAAAAAGCACCGGCUAACUCUGUGCCAGCAGCCGCGGUAAUACAGAGGGUGCAAGCGUUAUUCGGAGUUACUGGGCGUAAAGCGCACGUAGGCGGCUUUAUAAGUCUGAUGUGAAAUCCCUGGACUCAAUCCAGGAAGUGCAUUGGAUACUGUAAGGCUAGAGUGUAGGAGAGGAGAACGGAAUUCCUGGUGUAGAGGUGAAAUUCGUAGAUAUCAGGAGGAACAACGGAAGCGAAGGCGGUUCUCUAGACUAUAACUGACGCUCAGGUGCGAAAGCGUGGGGAGCAAACAGGAUUAGAUACCCUGGUAGUC